AGAUUUACACCAGCUUCAAAUGCUGAGCUGAAAGCAUGCACACAGAGGUGCAUGCACCAGGUUGUGUGAGCGACUGAAGACGCUUGGACAGCAGUGUGGAGAAUGGCAAUUUUAAGAACUUCUCCAUUGGAAAGCAAAAAUGAGUCGAAGCCAUCUGUUUCAGAAAGAACACUUCUGCAGAAUGUAGAACACUUCUAUAGAAGUUUCUGUUCCACAGAAAACCUGAAUGUUGCUAACCCUUCUGAGAACCACUAAUUAACUCCAAUUUCUACUACUCUUGGCAGAUGUUCAGGGUGCUCAGCAUCUCACAAGGAUUUUACCAUGAAUCUCACCAGAAUGGAGCAUCUAAUUUAACCCAAACAAAAUUAAUUUGCUGUGUUGAAUCUGAGGCAGCAACCGUCUCACGAGAGAGAAUCUAACCUAUAAAAGAAUAGCUACAGUGCAGAGCUUGGGUAUCCUCAGGACACAACGACGGGACCAAAUGAGGAUACAGAGUGCAGGAUCUGCAAAUUAAAAUGCUUCAAUUUUCAGAAAUUGGGUACAUACAGUGUGCAGAUACAAGCCUAGUUCUGAAAAUUCACAAACCCAUCAGAACCGAUGGCACCAUCUUAUUUCUUAAAUCCAAAGAAGAACACCACUCCGUACUCCUGUUGUACUGAAUCCAUCCGGAGUUCUCUACCGCUUGGUAUGUAAAGCUGUGCUUUGAGGAGGGAAGGCAGAGCAAACCACAGAGCUUCAGAGAAACCAGAUGCACACAUAAAGCAAGAAGUGGAGGUCAUGAAAAAAUGCCAGAAUUUUGUGAAGGAAGAAGAAGGCACACUGUGCCAACCACAGCCAACCACAGGAAAAAAAAAAUGGAAGGCAGAAAAAAGUAAUGGGAAUAGAUACAAACCCUUGCUAAGCCUACUGGAAUAUGGACUUCAAUAACAAGAGUUUCAUUUAGAACAGAGAUGGGUUGUAAAACAACAGCAUCUAGUGAGUAAUCUGCUGGUCUGUGAAGCCAUCCCUCUCCAUUAGGCACUCCUAAAAGCAAGCUGUCAUCUAACAUCAAAAGCCUUGCCCUGACUUUGCACCUUUUAAGCCCUCAAAUGAGCACUGAAGCCCACAGAAGUUUUAUGCAGGCUUUCUGCAGCCUGGUGCUGGUCAGCCCGGACCACAGGGCCAACAUUUUUCUCAGCAAUACUGGUUCUCCAUAGCAGGAUUGUUCAGGCUGGAUGAGAGCAUGAGUCACCUGGAGUUGGGAUCAUCAUGUUCUUUCAAAGAAAAAGAGGGUUUGUUCUCUAUGUGAAAACAUCCAGUGGCUGGAUAUAGCCUCUCUGCACGGGGACACAGUCCAGCUAGAUACUCUGUGUUGCCCUUUAGAGAAUAGAGAAGAUGAUGGUUAAGGUUGUAGAAAUGCUAGCACAUGGAAUCACUUUUCAUAACCUGAAUAAAUAAUUUUCAGAGC
ensembl:lncRNA